rnacentral:lncRNA from 10 species
CUAGAUGGUAUAAUGAGACUACUUCAUGGAACUGUUAUAUGAGAAUAACUACUGUGUGUUACUUAAGGCUGUGUGCUUAAGAAGUGAGGGAAGCUUUCCAUUCUUUGUCCCUUCCCUCCUCUUUCGGAUGGAUUUCUACUUGCAAAACAACUUUCAAGGCUACAUGUAAGCAAAGUGAAACCUCCGUAAGACUGGGCUGCUGAAUAAUUGUGGGGAACAGAGGUUGCCCUCUCUCAAGCCUGUUCUCUGUUGUGUGGACUUUAUGUAAAUAAGAAAUAAUACAAAUUUGUAAUGUUAAGGAUGUUCGUGUCAUAGUUUUCUUUUCCUGGAUAUAUAAGAAGAGUGAAUUUCCAAGCCUGCAUGUGAUUAGAUUGGGACCAAGUGACUAAGCAAUAAAAGGAAUUUUGAUGAGCAAGAGUGAUGUGUUGCAUGAGGUCAGGACAAUGCUUUCUGUGCUCUCCUUUCACACCUGUAGUUGGAAGAGAAGAAUCCUCAAUGAUGGAGUUGCAAAAUGGAAGUAGCCAGGCUGCUAAGUUAAAUCUGAGAGAAAAUCCACCAAGGAGAGCUGCAUGAGAUUUAUCAGACCAUAAUGUGAAGAAAAAAUAAAUGUUUGUUGGGUUAAGCCACUGAGGUUUCAAGGUUUGACUGUUGCAGCUGUUGAAGUCACUGUCUUGACACACAGAGCCAAUGACUGAAUAGAAAUCGUACUGAAACAUUUAGAUCAAGUGAGCCUUCCAUCCUCCAUAUGAAAUCUGUGUGUGGAUUGGAGAAUAAAUGCACAUCUCAGGCUACUACUUUCCGUUGGUUCCUCUUGAAUUUCCCUGCAUGUGCACAUGGUGUCCAGCCAGGGGGCAGGAAUAGGCUCUCUCUGGCAUUUCCUUAUCUGACAAAGGAAACUUCUUUUUAAAAGAAAGGCAAUUGUCUUAAGACCCCCUCCCUAGGAAUAUCAUCAAAUAACUAGAAAAGAUUAACCACUGGAGAAGAGAAGAGACGAAAAGCUAUCACCAUGCUGAGAGAGACUUUUCAAUCACUCUUCUGAGGGCAGCUUCAAGAGAUCAUCUGAGAGACUUUAUCUACAUAAUAAGAAAACCUUUGUUCACAGUAUAGCUCUGCCCCUCACCUUCCCAUAACUUGCUGUCCCAUUCAGUUUCCUAAAAGAAUAAUUUACAAGAUAACAUCUACCUCUUGGAUUUAUUCAAUUCCACUAAAAAUCAUUUAGAACCCCUCAAAUUGUCUAUAUUUUCCCUUCUCCUUUUCUCUUAUGAAGAGGGUAUAUAAGCCUCAUCUACUGUGUAUUCUUUGAGUUUCAUAUUUUAUAUGGCUUCCAUGCUUAUGCACAUUAACAAAUGUCUAUGAAUUUUCUCCUAUUGUUUCUUGUCAGUCAUUGCAGUGAACCUUCAGAGAGCAGCAGAGGGAGGGGCAUUUUCCUUCUACCCUACAGUUCUAAACUGUACUUGUUAUAUGUAUGUUUGUAGAAGGUAUUGUUGGUGUUUCUGGAACAUGAUUUGUUCAUUAAAGCAUUUUAAAUG